rnacentral:rRNA from 1 species
AGAGAUCAUGGCUCAGAAUCAACGCUGGCGGCGUGCCUCAGACAUGCAAGUCGAACGCGAAAGCUCCCUUCGGGGAGCAAGUAGAGUGGCGCACGGGUGAGUAACACGUAGGUAAUCUACCUUUGGAUGGGGAAUAACAACCGGAAACGGUUGCUAAUACCGCAUAAUGCAGCGGCACCUAAUGGUGACAGUUGUUAAAGCGGGGGAUCGAAAGACCUCGCGUCUGAAGAGGAGCCUGCGGCGGAUUAGCUAGUUGGUAAGGUAACGGCUUACCAAGGCGAUGAUCCGUAGCCGGCCUGAGAGGGCGGUCGGCCACACUGACACUGACAUACGGGUCAGACUCCUACGGGAGGCAGCAGUCGGGAAUUUUGGGCAAUGGGCGAAAGCCUGACCCAGCAACGCCGCGUGAAGGAUGAAAUCCUUCGGGAUGUAAACUUCGCAAGAACGGGAAGAAUAAGUAAGGGUUAAUAUCUCUUACGAUGACGGUACCGUUUGUAAGCUCCGGCUAACUCCGUGCCAGCAGCCGCGGUAAUACGGGGGGAGCAAGCGUUGUUCGGAUUUACUGGGCGUAAAGGGCGCGUAGGCGGCCACCGCAAGUCGACUGUGAAAUCUCUGGGCUUAACCCAGAACGGUCAGCCGAUACUGCGGGGCUAGAGUGCAGAAGGGGCAACUGGAAUUCUCGGUGUAGCGGUGAAAUGCGUAGAUAUCGAGAGGAACACCUGCGGCGAAGGCGGGUUGCUGGGCUGACACUGACGCUGAGGCGCGAAAGCUAGGGGAGCGAACGGGAUUAGAUACCCCGGUAGUCCUAGCCUUAAACGAUGAAUGCUUGGUGUCUGGGGUUAUAUAGUCCCCGGGUGCCGUCGCUAACGCUUUAAGCAUUCCGCCUGGGGAGUACGG